GGGUGACCUCCAGCGAGUCACUGGAGCCUGCAGAAUCUCAUUUGAGAAGUUGGAUAAGAUCUCUGCCCCCACCGCCCAGGCCCCAGGGGAGCUGUGCAGACUGACUCUCUUCUGAAGAGUCCCUUGGAAAUGUUUUGGCGGUGGCAAGAGAAAGAGCUUUACUUGUUCUUCAGAAAGACUUGCCGGAGUCAGACACUGAGGACUCCAGAGCAUCUGGAGGAAGCCCAAGGGCCACCUCCCCUGAGAAGCCUUCCUUCGCCAGCCUGAAUAAAAUGGACCUCUAUACACACACCUGUCUCAGUGGUGGCAGUGGCAGGCCAUCUGGAGCGGCUGCUGCUGUCACACCAGCUGCAGCAGGGAGGCACGGCUGGGGCUGCAUGUUCCAUGGAACUGGCAGGAGCUGGGGACAGGCAGGAGCCUCUCCCAUUCUGAGUCGGGGUGGCAGCUCCCUGCGUGCCGCUGCAGCUGCCCAAGCCACGGCUGUGGACCCAGGCAUCCCUGUGCUCUCGGAGCCCGGGAGCAGGUGGGAACCCCACCCUCCCAGGUGCAGCUGCGGCCGCCCAAACCACAGCUGCAGACCCGGGCCUCCUGCUCCACGGAGCAGGCUGGAGUCCUGCCCCACAUCCCACAUAGCUGCACCGGCCCUAACUGCGGCUGCGGCCCAGGCAUCCCUGCACUCUUGGGGGCCCUGGAAGGCCCCCCUGCCCUCACAGGCUUGGAAAUGCCCGCUCCCACUGCCUGGCUUCUCCUUGCUGUCGGCACCUGCUCUGAUCUUGGGGCAAAAUUGGGGCCGAGCCUGGGUUUUGUCACAGCCCAGCCAGGUAUGCACACACUCGGGGCAGUGCUGACAUGCCAGCCCCCUGCUGUCUCAGCCCCCUCCAGAUUUUGGGCACUGAUGAGCAUAGGAGUGAAGCUGAGGAGGAACUGAGGGCAGCUUGGCACUGGCCUGCAGACGCCCCUUGGUACCUAUAGCCUGGGCGCCAUGAAUGGCAGCAGGAGGCAGACAGGUUUCUGGGCAGAAGGGGGUGAGUCCCUGGUGAGGCCCACCUUCAGGCCAGGGAGGCCCUGAAGGCUGGGGGCCAGGCUGUCAGUGCCGUGGACUGGAGUGUGAACUUGUGUUGCCUUUUCUGGGCCUGCCCAUGGCCGCCCAUGUACCAGUCAGCAUGAACUUCCCCCUCUCUGAGGCUCACAGAAGCCCCAGGCUCAGCCAGAGCUGAGCAGACGUCGGAUGACCAGCUGUAGUGAGGAACUGCCCCAUCUUGCUC
rnacentral:lncRNA from 1 species